UAUAUAUACUGCUAGUGUUUAGGAGUUCACAUUCCAGGGGCUUUUGUUAAGGAUUAGCCAGAUGUUUAGAGGUGCUGCCACCUUUGCCAUCAGUUGCAGCAAAUGUUUUUGUGCAAAUUGUUUUGCCCAUUUGGACUACAGAAGAGCAAGGACAGAGAAACACUGUCCCUGAAUUUCCUCUUAGGAAUUGCAUAGAAUGGCAUAGCAGGAGUCUGCAACCUAUACUAUCAAAAGAGCCAAUUUGCCCUCUCUUCCAUACAAUUUGUCUGGAGCCACAAAAUCAAUUUGUUAGCACAGCUUAAAACAUAUAGUUAUACCAUAUGUGCAAAAAAUAUACUUUAUCGCAUUUAUACAAUUAUAGAAAAACAAUAAAGAGAACUGUUGACAUAUUUUGGUAUUUUUACUUGUUAAGAUAAAGAAAAUCACUUUUAUGAAGAGGUGUAACAAUACAUUGGUAUGUGUAGGCCUACUUUAAGAUAAAUUAAACAGAAGUCUGCCUCCUCAUCUAUCCCUGCCUCUGUCCCUUUUUCUGAGUCUGUCACUUCAUCUUCAUCCCUCACAUUCAUCUCUUCUUCGCCUUCACUUAUGUCUUCAUCUCCUUUCUUUCUCCAGUGACCCUCCUGGUCUCUCCACCAUUAAGCAGAGGAAGCCACCGAAGGAUAUGAAGUCUUCUCAUCUUUCAUUCCCUUGCUCCUUUCCUCUUGUUCAGUUCUCUGCAAAUAUCUACAAAUAUUUCCAUUUUUACCCUUCUUUAUUACUUUUGUUGAAUCACUCGAGCUACUCUGGCCUGCAAGAUUAUGUGAUUCAAUAAGUGUUUCGCAGGCACAUCGGAUAUCACGGAGAUUUCCAUAGGAAUGAAUGGACUUCUGGUUGGUGCUCCUCCGUGUACACACGUAUGUGGAAACAAGGCUUAACAGUCUUAACAGUUGUUAUUUAACACUGGCUAUCAGCAGUUAUCAAUCCUUAGGCUAAACAUGUUGUGAUAUCAGGCAAACACAAGUUAGAUCAAAGUGAAAAAUACGCCGGUAAAAAACGGUAGAUGCAACAGUGUUCUUGAUUAGAGAGACCUACUGCAUGGCUAUCGCUAUCCAGAAACCCUUUUCGGCACUAUGUUUCCAAAUCCUUUUCUUAUUUUGGAUUUAUCCAUGGUUAACACACUGAGCAUAGGAUUAUCUAUCUUCAGGGAUAUGCACAGAGCCGUAGACCGAUGUGAUGCAUAAUAAUAGAGGCCUAAUGAUAAAACCAUUUUUGAUUCACUAUCACCUCAAACUCACGCAGAAAAAUGUUCCCUUUGAAAGAUUGUUAACUGUGCUAAACAUAUAUUUUUAAAUAUCCGGAUUUCCAUGAUAUUUAUUGUCAAAGCUACAGGGAACUCUUGCAGAAAGGCAGAAGCAUGCAGCUCUAUAGGAAUAGCAUCACAUUGCAAUGGGUUUUCAUUUUAAUAUAUGUAAUAUUAAUAUUGUAUAAUUCAUAUUUAAAAAUGAAAAGUAGAAUCAAAUAGUUGUUUUCUUCUACUUUAUCAGUAUUAUAUACAGUUACAUUGCUCAAAUAUAUGCUCUGCUCUAGUGCAGAGAUAGUUCACAGCUUGGACAGAGUGGGGGAGGUGCUGCAGCUGCAAGUUGCACGCUUAGUUUGCGCCAUGCUUUGCACACUUUGCAAACAGUAUUAUUAAUGUUGCAUUCACGGGGAAUGGGAAUUACAACUUCACCUCUUUUAGUUCAACAUGAAUGUGCAAGACUGCUAGAGUGCCUCACGUCGGAGUCAUUAUUUCAAGAUUAAACAUCGUUUUAAAAUGUCUAAAUACAGUCAAGAUUUUCAUUAAGAGCGACUUCCUCCUCGUGUGGCAUUUUUGAAUAAUUUCACAUUUUACAAUGGACACGUGUCGCUCAGUUUUGUACUCUCGUAUUGACACUGAAUGCAUCAUCGGACCAGUCUACCGAAACACGCAUGAGGUCAAGAGGACGACGAGAAAACCGGAGAGACAAUUACACAAUUGUACAACUAUUUAAGUCUUUCAAACAAAGGAGCAAGCAUUCCUUCAAAAGAAGGAUCUCAACAGGCGGCACAACAUGGUGAAAGUGAUGUCCAGGUCUCUGGUAAGAGAACUUUUUAACCACCAUGAAGCACAGCAUUUCAGAGAUGCAGCCUUUACAUGCCCAAGCGCUGACUGUAGUAAAUACUAUCUAUCCAAAAAAGAAUUCAUAAACCAUUUAUCCACACACAACAUCACCUUCUCUGAAAAAGACUUUGAGGCCCAGAGGAAGGCGAGGCAGAAACUUCUUAAGACGCUUACUACUGAAGUGUCAAACCGCCUUAAUAAGUCAAGUCAUGCAGCAGAGACUGAAAAUGGAGAUGUCCUAAACUCUUCCUCAACAAGUUGUGCCUCCUCUUUGCAAUCACCUGAUGGUAAGGAGCGCAAAAACAGCAAUGACCCUGGUGGCUGUGUGUUUUGAUGGAAGCAAGUUUACUUGUGGUUUUGAGAAAUGUGGCAUGACUUUCUCCAGAGCCAGAGAUGUCCAGAGGCAUCUUAAGUGUGCCCACCCAGAACACCUCAAACUGGAGAACAAAGAACACAAACAUGACAAAGACGGGCUCAAAGUCCAAAGGGAUGAAGACUGAAACUGAGCCUGACUGUGAGGAAGAGGGAAAAGAGGAGCACUUAACUCCAUUUCAACCCAUGAAGGCAGAUGAAGAAAGAAAAGAAGAUACUGAACCCCAAAUCAACGAAAUAAACUCUCCAAGCUUUCAAACUAAAAAUGAUGAUCUGAGUGAAGUCCCUAUUGGGCUCAGUAAACUGAACCUGAAUUCAUUAUCUCCUCACAGUGUGCCAAUAGAGCCCCCUGAGUCCAACCUAGAGUCAAAAGAAUACAACACAUCUCUCCAUCAGGCCAUCAUGGCAAAGCCUCCUGUUGUGCUGCUUCGGAAGAGGGCCCUACAAGUGCCAGAUGAAAAGCAGAGGACUGGCCCUCAGCUGUUUUCUCGUCAUCAGGCCUUGGGCUCCUGGGGAAGAACCUUCGACGGAAGCGGCGUUUGUUGGGUGCGUAGCGGCUACCUUUGACAGGAACACCGCCCGGACCGGUUACAUUGGCUGCUUCUGAGCCCUGUGGGACACCAAGGCAAUGGGAAAUGUAUAGAAAUCAACACAUCUUAAACUGUUGUCAUAAUGCCAUACUACAAAAUGGAUCCCGAGAUUCUCACCUUGGCGCCUUCAAUCACAUCAAACUCUACUACCUCCCCGUCUCCGACACUGCGGAGGAACUUCCUGGGGUUGUUUUUCUUGAUCGCGGUCUGAGGAGACAGAUUUAACAUCAAACAAUGGUUCCAAAUAAAGCCAUGUACAUUAAUUCAAAAAGGCCCUUUACCUUACCUGAUGUACGAACACAUCUUCUUUGGUAUCAUUUCUGUGAGAAAUAGAACCUGAUUAGCUUUGGAAUUAUUGAGGACCGUUACAGAAAACUUGAAGAUGCACUAAAAUUGUAAAAUAAUGCAGACAACAUUAUGUUGAGGAAACACAAUACCUGUUUAUGAAGCCAUAUCCAUUACGCACAUUGAACCACUUCACUGUGCCUUGGACCAAGGUGGCUACAAUAACAGGUAGCACAUGAUUAAAUAUGUAUUGCAGUGACAUUUCACAUAAGACAUUGUUUUACAACCAUUCCAAGAACACAUUAUACAGAUAGAUACAACCAUGGAGGAAUAAAAUAUAACGCACGCCUGCUUAAAUGACAAUGCAAAACACUUUUCCAUUAAUUGCACUUUGUCCUCAAUGAACACAGCUUGGAUAUAAAUGUAUGGCUUCUCUACACAGUAGAUGAGCUUUGAUCAUUAUUUGCCCCAACUCAUCACUAGAUUUCCAGCACGGCACAGUAUUGGUCAAAUUGUGAAGUGCACAUUGCUUCCAACAAACUUUUUUUGCUACCUAAACUUAACCUGUUCCUCAUCUUUGAAGACAUCCAGGGCUCGUCCGGGAUUUGAACCCGGGACCUCUCGCACCCAAAGCGAGAAUCAUACCCCUAGACCAACGAGCCACGACAAAAAGCAAUUAUUUCACCUUACCAACGAUAGCCUGCUUAAAUGAAAUCGCAAAACACUUUUCCAUUCAUUGCAUUAUGCCUCAAUAAACAAAGCUUGGAUGAAAAUGCAUGGCUUCUCUACACAGAUGAUGAGUCUUGGUCAGUUUGUGACCCUACUAAACACUAGGUUUCUAUUAGGGCACAGGAUUGGUCAAAUUGUGAAGUAGACAUUGCUUAAAAAGAACAAUUGUUGAUACCUAAACUAAACCUGUUGUAGAUGUCGUGGGCUCGUCCGGGAUUUGCACCCGGGACCUCUCGCAUCCUAAGCGAGAAUCAUACCCCUA